rnacentral:rRNA from 1 species
UACGGGGGGGGCAAGCGUUGUUCGGAAUUACUGGGCGUAAAGGGCUCGUAGGUGGCCAACUAAGUCAGACGUGAAAUCCCUCAGCUUAACUGGGGAACUGCGUCUGAUACUGGAUGGCUUGAGUUCGGGAGAGGUGAGUGGAACUGCGAGUGUAGAGGUGAAAUUCGUAGAUAUUCGCAAGAACACCAGUGGCGAAGGCGGCUCACUGGCCCGAUACUGACGCUGAGGCACGAAAGCGUGGGGAGCAAACAGGG